rnacentral:rRNA from 1 species
CCUACGGGUGGCAGCAGUGGGGAAUAUUGGGCAAUGGGCGCAAGCCUGACCCAGCAACGCCGCGUGAAGGAAGAAGGCCUUCCGGUUGUAAACUUCCUUUUUCAGGGACGAAGAACGUGACGGUACCUGAGGCCUAAGCAUCGGCUAACUCCGUGCCAGCAGCCGCGGUAAUACGGAGGAUGCGAGCGUUAUCCGGAUUUAUUGGGUUUAAAGGGUGCGUAGGCGGUUUUUUAAGUUAGUGGUUAAACGUCGGGGCUUCACCUUGAUUUGCCAUUAAUACUGUAAGACUCGAGUGCAGACGAGGUAGGCGGAAUAAGUGAAGUAGCGGUGAAAUGCUUAGAUAUAACGUAGAACUCCGAUAGCGAAGGCAGCUUACCAGACUGCGACUGACGCUGAAGCACGAGAGCGUGGGUAGCGAACAGGAUUAGAUACCCCUGUAGUC